rnacentral:rRNA from 1 species
GAUUGAACGCUGGCGGCAGGCCUAACACAUGCAAGUCGAGCGGAUGAAGGGAGCUUGCUCCUGGAUUCAGCGGCGGACGGGUGAGUAAUGCCUAGGAAUCUGCCUGGUAGUGGGGGAUAACGUCCGGAAACGGGCGCUAAUACCGCAUACGUCCUGAGGGAGAAAGUGGGGGAUCUUCGGACCUCACGCUAUCAGAUGAGCCUAGGUCGGAUUAGCUAGUUGGUGGGGUAAAGGCCUACCAAGGCGACGAUCCGUAACUGGUCUGAGAGGAUGAUCAGUCACACUGGAACUGAGACACGGUCCAGACUCCUACGGGAGGCAGCAGUGGGGAAUAUUGGACAAUGGGCGAAAGCCUGAUCCAGCCAUGCCGCGUGUGUGAAGAAGGUCUUCGGAUUGUAAAGCACUUUAAGUUGGGAGGAAGGGCAGUAAGUUAAUACCCUGCUGUUUUGACGUUACCAACAGAAUAAGCACCGGCUAACUUCGUG